CUAUGUUUUUUCUUCACCUCUGUUUAUUCUCGCCUCUUCUCUGGUCUCUUCUCCUCUGAAAUUUCUCUUAAAAGCUAAAGAUUGAGAGGUUUUUAAUGAUGAAUUUCAGAGGGAUAUGGACAUGAAAACAUGGAAACAAAAUAUCUCUUAACACAGCUAUUGAAAUAGAAUAUAAUAUGUAAAGAGGUUAAAAAUGACGAAAGGGUUAGUUCUGUUUCCAGACUAAAGAGGGUUAGUUCUAACUCCUUAACACUCAGUGAAAGAGUUGAUCAAACAAUAGCUAGUAUAAUACGUAAGGGGUUUUAUAACGAUAGUGGAGUCGAUUAUAUGUGUUAGGGGUUGGUUAUUUCUUUUCCAACGCCAUUUAUGCGCAAAAAGCUCAGGUUAGCAACAGACCUUGCAUGAUCAUUGGAUCAACACGAAAGAGAUCCUACGGUUUCAAGUCUCAACUAAGUGUUUGUUAAACCUUGUGCACAGCUGAUGACUGCAACAAAAAAAAAUUAAC
rnacentral:lncRNA from 1 species